rnacentral:rRNA from 1 species
GAUCAUGGCUCAGGAUGAACGCUGGCGGCGUGCUUAACACAUGCAAGUCGAACGGACUUUAUAUGAAGCCUAGCGAUUAUAAAGUUAGUGGCGGACGGGUGAGUAACGCGUGAAUAACCUGCCCUGUACCGGGGGACAACAGUUGGAAACGGCUGCUAAUACCGCAUAAGCGCACGGUUCCGCAUGACACAGUGUGAAAAACUCCGGUGGUAUGAGAUGGACCCGCGUCUGAUUAG